ACCCUAAUAUCCCCCAAAUGGAGAUGAUGGCCACCACUACUACUCCAUUACUCACAUGCCGAUCUGUCUGCAUAGACAUACCACCACAAUGCACAAUCGUUUCAAAAUACCCUAGCUAAACAAGCCCCUUCCUCUAUUCUCAUUCCAUGCUUGUGAACAACGAAGGCUGUAGCAAAGAAAACCCUGUAACUUUGUCUUAAUUGUUUCAUGGUGGCUGACAAGGUUUUCCUUGUGUAUCAAUUACCACUAUCGUCGUCGUGAUCUGACCAUCACUUGGUUCUAACGAAAAGGAAAAAAGUGAGGUUUGUGUAUUUGUAAUCCUGAUAUAGAGAUUUUUAGGGAUUACCAUAUCACUCAUAUCUCCUCUCUGCCACCAUCGUCGACCCACGCACUGCCAGUCAACAAUACCCAUCUGAUCCUGCUCCUUUUUGGUUCAAUCCCAAAAGGUACAUUCUUUAUGUUUCUUCUCUGUUCGUAUUUUCACUUCUUGAACAAGGUCUAUCUGUUGGGGCUUAUUUAUCUAGAAAAGUUUUCAUGAUGAAGUGAAAACGAUGACAUGGAUUUAUCUCGUCGCCUGCUUGUCCGUUUCUGCCUCCUUCAUUAUUUCCAUAACCCUGUGUUAACGUGACUUCACACAUGGAUUGCAAUAAACAACACCGUUUCUUGAUGGAAAGCUACGUGUCUGCAUAUUUGCUUUCGUUCAUCUUGACCUCACUAUUGAGGCAGUUGACUUUAGUAUAAGGGCUUUUUUGGUGUUCCCAAAUGGUGGUUUCUUGUGGUCGGUGGCUUUCCCCCAAAACAGGUUGAAUGGUAACCUCAGUCAUCAUCUUCAAGGUGGGUUUUUAACUUCAAGGUGGGUUGUCAUGGCUCUUGUAAGAAUGAGGGAAGGUCAACUUAAGAUCUGCAAACUGUCAUUUACUUCUAGGAGAGGUAGAUGAUGCAUCAUACUAUUAUAACAAAUGCUUGGAGUUCGAGGGGACCGUUUGCUUGGAUAGGAGAAUAACAAUUGAAAUUGAUUGAUUUGGCCCUACUUAUUACACAGCUGGGGAAGCAUAAAGAGGUGGUUCAACUGUGUGAGCAAACCCUAGAUACAUCGGGGAAGGGAACUUCAGUGGUGAAGAUACUGUUAGGGUUACCACCAUAAACAAGCAUGGGAAGCAUGAUUUGGAUAUUCCAGUCAUUGUCAACCCAAGAAAUGAUCCUCCAUUUAUUAAUUUCCCUGCAUUCAUCAUGUUGGAGAAUGUUACAGAAGAUGAAGGUUUCUUGAUCUUUGAUAGACAACGAAAUAAUUUUAACUUCUCUAUUGGGGAUCCAGAUCAUAUUCACUUUCCAGGUUUGAACAUGCUUGAACAUCAGAUGAAAUUUCAGGUGAUACCAAAUGAUGUUAAAAGGACAUGGGAUGAGCAUGUCCUAUGAGGAUUGGUUCCCACCAGCCUUAUUUUGUAGAUCAUCUUAAGUAUUUUAGGAAACCUUCGGAAAUAAAAUCCAAGGACUAUAAUCAGAAUCAGUCUAUGGUGUGUGUACUUUUUGGCUUACUCCAUUGUACCAGUGGCCCUGAGUAUUACUGCCUAAAGUGCCUUGGAAUCAGGCAACAACUCUCAUCUUGCUUCAAAAUAUCACAGAUCCAACACAUGUGAGCUCAUGGGUUUUUGGGCUAGUUUCUCUUUCUUCACCUUGGUAGCGCAGACACCAUUACUGCUUACUCCUUGGAAGACAAUGAUCUUUGGUUAAGACACUUUGUUUUUCUUCUGUUCCAGUCAGGAGUAGCUUUAUAUAUCCUUUUGUUGUCCUGGUCAGGUUGUUCUUAUCUCCGCGACACAAUGCUUGGUCCUACUGACCCAGGUCCUGAUUAUGCUGUCAAAUUCCUGGAGGAAUUUCUGUUUAAAAAUUCACAGGGUUUCAUUGUGAAGGUUUAGGAGGUUUUGGAGAAUGCUCUUCCAACUAUUCAUAUAUUGCUUUAUGUUUCCCGAUUUGUUUUUAAAGAGAGUUUCUAGCAUUUUAUGACUAAAUUCAAAAUGUAGGAAGUUGCUUUCAUGUUUAUAAUAGCAUUAAAAUUUAUUUCUACUCCUAUUUACUGAAUUCUUGUUUUUUCAGAUGGUACAAGUAUGCUUCAAUGAGUUUUGCCGCAUUUGGUUUUUAUCUGAUUGCUAAGCACGCUUUUCAAUACAUAAUGGAAAGAAAACGUCACUGGGAAUUGAAGAAAAGAGGUACUUAUACCAGGAAGUGAGGUGUCACAACAUAAAAGUGCAGCUUGCAUGGAAGCUAGUGGGACAAGUAAUAUGAAGUUUGCCUAAAUGGAUGCCUGAUUAUAGGAACAUUAGAUGGUGCUAAUGUUGAAAUCAGGGAGGAAGUUGGAGAGGACAAUUUUUUCCCUUUUUGGAGCAACAGCAGACGAAGUUCCAAAGCUCAGGAAAGACCGAGAAAAUUGACUGUUGAAACUGGAUCCUCGACACACAGAGGCUAAAGAAUUCAUAAGAUCAAAGGCAUUUGGAAGCUAUGAAUACAACCCACUUCUUGAUUCUCUUGAAGGGAACUCAGGGUAUGGGUGUGGGGACUACUUUUUUUUUACUUGACUUCCCAACCUACAUAGACAUUCAAGCCAAAGUAGAUGAAGCAUAUAAUUAAGGAUAGCAGUGACAGAACAUUAUCUGCUGCAUACACACUUGAGUUACAGUCACUCAAGGCUGCUGCAUACACACUUGAGUUACAGUAACUCAAGGCUGCUGCAUACACACUCGAGUUUCCUGUUAUUCUAAGUGAAUGGUGGGAUAGAAAGGUCAUCAGUGUUUUACGAUGAAUGCCACAAAUUGUAUGACAUUAAAUUUUAUGCAAUGGAAUAGAUUUUUUGUAUGAAACAUAGUAGAUUAAUGAGUGCAAAUUUAUAUAUUCUAAAAAUAGAAUUGUAUGACAUUAAAUUUUAUGCAAUGGAUUGUAUUUUCUUCUA